GACAGAGGGGGCAAGCGUUGCUCGGAAUUACUGGGCGUAAAGGGCGCGUAGGCGGGAUGGCAAGUCGGUCGUGAAAUCCCUCGGCUCAACCGAGGAACGUCGAUCGAUACUGCUGUUCUUGAGGAUUGCAGAGGAGACUGGAAUUCCCGGUGUAGCGGUGAAAUGUGUAGAGAUCGGGAGGAACACCGGUGGCGAAGGCGGGUCUCUGGGCCGUA
rnacentral:rRNA from 1 species